GUUUAACAGUUAGGUAAACUAAAAGGCAUCUGAUUCAAGGAAAAUAAUUGUAUACAAAGUAAAGAGAAGUAGGAAUGCAAAUAUUUUGAAAGUCUUGGUGAGGUCCUGGAGAGCAGUGGCUAGGAGACAUGCUAACCACUGGAAGUUGGCGUAAAACAAGAUCAGAGACGUUUUGUUUUUACCUGAAGAAAGCUUAGGCUAAAAGCAAACUGAGUUACUUGCUAGCUUUGCAAGUCUCAGGUGAGUGAAAAUGGAAGUGCGUAGCUCUACUUGUAAAGAAAAUGCCCCUGAUGUCUCACCUGGAUGUUUGUGGGUUGGAUUCCUGCGCAUAGACCUGUGCUGACCGAUCCUCCUGCCUACGUAAACUGUCCAGCUGAAACUACCAGACCAGAAGAAAUCAGUGGGAAGGACCCCAAGAUCUAGCAAACAAAAUACAUUGAUGCCACAGGUACUGAAGAAAAGGGACUUGAGGAUGGGACUGUGUACCCAAAAUGAAAGAAUGAAGUGUCUGAGACAAGUGAAACUUCACCGUCAGGACUGUGCCUUCAGCACCAGACUGCAUAAUGCUUUUGGAGAAUUUCUCCCAAAGUAGAUGAAGAUUCACUGCUGCCUCUCCUUCUGUUUUCCUUAUUGUGCAAUGCAGAAGCUCCAAGUCAGCAUUUUCCUGGUCUGGGGGUGUUUACUUCUGUUCAGCUGUACCAGAGGAGAGCAGUGAUCUGCUGGUCCAGAGACAAAACAUGACCAAAGAAGUUAAACUGGCUGCCUUCCACUACCAGAGGGGAGCUUACAAGACAGCUGGAGAGGGAUAUCUUAAAGUGCCCCCCCAGGGACUUUAAGAAUAAUUAAAGGUGUGUGUUGGCAAAAAAAGGAGGAGUAGCUUCAAACUGAAAGGGAGUAUGUUUAGAUUGGAUAUUAUGA